CCGGAAGGGGAGUGAAAGAGAUCCUGAAACCGUGUGCCUACAAAUAGUCAGAGCCCGUUAAUGGGUGAUGGCGUGCCUUUUGUAGAAUGAACCGGCGAGUUACGAUCCCGUGCGAGGUUAAGUUGAAGAGACGGAGCCGCAGCGAAAGCGAGUCUGAAUAGGGCGUUUAGUACGUGGUCGUAGACCCGAAACCAGGUGAUCUACCCAUGUCCAGGGUGAAGUUCAGGUAACACUGAAUGGAGGCCCGAACCCACGCACGUUGAAAAGUGCGGGGAUGAGGUGUGGGUAGCGGAGAAAUUCCAAUCGAACCUGGAGAUAGCUGGUUCUCCCCGAAAUAGCUUUAGGGCUAGCCUUAAGUGUAAGAGUCUUGGAGGUAGAGCACUGAUUGAACUAGGGGUCCUCAUCGGAUUACCGAAUUCAGUCAAACUCCGAAUGCCAAUGACUUAUCCUUAGGAGUCAGACUGCGAGUGAUAAGAUCCGUAGUCAAGAGGGAAACAGCCCAGAUCGCCAGCUAAGGUCCCAAAGUGUGUAUUAAGUGGAAAAGGAUGUGGAGUUGCUUAGACAACUAGGAUGUUGGCUUAGAAGCAGCCACCAUUUAAAGAGUGCGUAAUAGCUCACUAGUCGAGUGACUCUGCGCCGAAAAUGUACCGGGGCUAAAUACACCACCGAAGCUGCGAAUUGAUACCAAUGGUAUCAGUGGUAGGGGAGCGUUCUAAGUGCAGUGAAGUCAGACCGGAAGGACUGGUGGAGCGCUUAGAAGUGAGAAUGCCGGUAUGAGUAGCGAAAGACGGGUGAGAAUCCCGUCCACCGAAUGCCUAAGGUUUCCUGAGGAAGGCUCGUCCGCUCAGGGUUAGUCAGGACCUAAGCCGAGGCCGACAGGCGUAGGCGAUGGACAACAGGUUGAUAUUCCUGUACCACCUCUUUAUCGUUUGAGCAAUGGAGGGACGCAGAAGGAUAGAAGAAGCGUGCGAUUGGUUGUGCACGUCCAAGCAGUUAGGCUGAUAAGUAGGCAAAUCCGCUUAUCGUGAAGGCUGAGCUGUGAUGGGGAAGCUCCUUAUGGAGCGAAGUCUUUGAUUCCCCGCUGCCAAGAAAAGCUUCUAGCGAGAUAAAAGGUGCCUGUACCGCAAACCGACACAGGUAGGCGAGGAGAGAAUCCUAAGGUGUGCGAGAGAACUCUGGUUAAGGAACUCGGCAAAAUGACCCCGUAACUUCGGGAGAAGGGGUGCUUUCUUAACGGAAAGCCGCAGUGAAUAGGCCCAAGCGACUGUUUAGCAAAAACACAGGUCUCUGCGAAGCCGUAAGGCGAAGUAUAGGGGCUGACACCUGCCCGGUGCUGGAAGGUUAAGGAGAGGGGUUAGCGUAAGCGAAGCUCUGAACUGAAGCCCCAGUAAACGGCGGCCGUAACUAUAACGGUCCUAAGGUAGCGAAAUUCCUUGUCGGGUAAGUUCCGACCCGCACGAAAGGUGUAACGAUUUGGGCACUGUCUCAACCAGAGACUCGGUGAAAUUAUAGUACCUGUGAAGAUGCAGGUUACCCGCGACAGGACGGAAAGACCCCGUGGAGCUUUACUGUAGCCUGAUAUUGAAUUUUGGUACAGUUUGUACAGGAUAGGCGGGAGCCAUUGAAACCGGAGCGCUAGCUUCGGUGGAGGCGCUGGUGGGAUACCGCCCUGACUGUAUUGAAAUUCUAACCUACGGGUCUUAUCGACCCGGGAGACAGUGUCAGGUGGGCAGUUUGACUGGGGCGGUCGCCUCCUAAAGUGUAACGGAGGCGCCCAAAGGUUCCCUCAGAAUGGUUGGAAAUCAUUCGUAGAGUGCAAAGGCAUAAGGGAGCUUGACUGCGAGACCUACAAGUCGAGCAGGGACGAAAGUCGGGCUUAGUGAUCCGGUGGUUCCGCAUGGAAGGGCCAUCGCUCAACGGAUAAAAGCUACCCCGGGGAUAACAGGCUUAUCUCCCCCAAGAGUCCACAUCGACGGGGAGGUUUGGCACCUCGAUGUCGGCUCAUCGCAUCCUGGGGCUGUAGUCGGUCCCAAGGGUUGGGCUGUUCGCCCAUUAAAGCGGUACGCGAGCUGGGUUCAGAACGUCGUGAGACAGUUCGGUCCCUAUCCGUCGUGGGCGUAGGAAAUUUGAGAGGAGCUGUCCUUAGUACGAGAGGACCGGGAUGGACGCACCGCUGGUGUACCAGUUGUUCUGCCAAGGGCAUAGCUGGGUAGCUAUGUGCGGAAGGGAUAAGUGCUGAAAGCAUCUAAGCAUGAAGCCCCCCUCAAGAUGAGAUUUCCCAUAGCGUAAGCUAGUAAGAUCCCUGAAAGAUGAUCAGGUUGAUAGGUUCGAGGUGGAAGCAUGGUGACAUGUGGAGCUGACGAAUACUAAUAGAUCGAGGACUUAACCAU
rnacentral:rRNA from 1 species